GAUUUUUGCUACUUUGAAGACAUCGAUUGGUUAAUUCACUCUCUAUCAAGCUAAGAGGUUGCCUAGAGCUCAGCCUGCUCAGAAUCCUGCAGGGAUGGUUCUUAUGGACAGACCAACAGAAGGAUCGCGAUCUGCACCAUGUUGUGCCUAAUAUUUGACUGUUUGUGAAAGAUCCAAGUGCAAUUAAGGUUUGAUUCCCUCACUUUUUUCAAUAUUGAUUAGCUUCCUUUCCAACUCUAAAUCCUUUUUCUGGGUUCCGAACAUACAUAUUGCUUCAUCAGGGCCCUGGGUUGCCAUUUCCAUUGUCUUAUCGGAUUGGAAUUUAAAAGCUUGGCGAAUUCUAACUUAUACCUUUGGUUGUUUUUGUUAGAACAACUAAAAUAAAAUUUCAGAAAACUGGUUAAACACAGCUAGAUUGAAUAGUACAUAUACAACAAACAUCAUAUAACCAAAGCUAUAAAAUAGUUAGCAUGAAGUUUUAGAACAAUUCUUCAACAUUCAGUUUCAUUUCUACAUUUAAAUCCUUUUUGUGGGUUCUGAACAUCCAUGUUUAAUCAGUUUUUAAUUUACGAUUUCAUUUCCCAUUGUCUCUACCACAAUUGGAAUUUAAAAGCUUGGCCAAUUCUAACUUACAGCUGAGGUUGCUUUCAAUUUGUUCUUGCAGAUGUUUCGCUUGGUAUUCAAUAAACCUGUUGCACCCACCUCAGAGCUCCUGAAGAAACUUAGGACCUAUUCAGGUAUAUUGAGGCUAAUAUUUGU